rnacentral:rRNA from 1 species
UACAGAGGUGCCGAGCGUUAGGCGGAAUUACUGGGCUUAAAGCGUGUGUAGGCGGAGUGCUAAGUACCUUGUGAAAUCCCACGGCUUAACCGUGGAACUGCUUGGUAUACUGGUUCUCUUGAGCCACCUAGGGGCAACCGGAACAAACGGUGGAGCGGUGAAAUGCGUAGAUAUCGUUUGGAACGCCAAUGGUGAAAACAGGUUGCUGGGGGUGUGCUGACGCUGAGACACGAAAGCCAGGGGAGCGAACGGG